rnacentral:rRNA from 1 species
GACGAACGCUGGCGGCGUGCUUAACACAUGCAAGUCGAACGGAAAGGCCCUGCUUUUGUGGGGUGCUCGAGUGGCGAACGGGUGAGUAACACGUGAGUAACCUGCCCUUGACUUUGGGAUAACUUCAGGAAACUGGGGCUAAUACCGGAUAGGAGCUCCUGCUGCAUGGUGGGUUUUGGAAAGUUUCGGCGGUUGGGGAUGGACUCGCGGCUUAUCAGCUUGUUGGUGGGGUAGUGGAUUACCAAGGAUUUGACGGGUAGCCGGCCUGAGAGGGUGACCGGCGACAAUGGGACUGAGAUACGGACCAGAAUACUAAGGGAGGCAGCAGUGGGGAAUAUUGCACAAUGGGCGGAAGACUGAUGCAGAAACGCAGCGUGCGGGAUGACGGCCUUCGGGUUGUAAAACGAUUUCGACGGUGAAGAAGAGUGAGUGACGGUAAUGGGUAAAGAAGCACCGGCUAAGUACGUG